rnacentral:tRNA from 1 species
GGCCUUAUAGUUGAUAACAACGUUAAAUUGCAAAUUUGAAAGAGUAGAAUAUUCCUACUGAGGCUU